UCCCCCCGUGUUUAUACCCUUGCCCCGAGGGCACUGACUGCCACGUGAUCGCUGCCGGCGGCCAUUCUGCGUGAGGGCACCACGCACCAGAAUCAAACAUGGCGCUCCACGUUUACUCCCGCUGCUCAUCUCCGCCCAGGAGAAGUUGGCUAUUGGAUAAGAGAGCCCAGAAACCCUUCCUGAUUGGUCCGUUGGUUGUCCCGCCCACCAAGCCCGGGGCUGGCGUCCCCGCACUCUCUCGCGGGGCGGGGUCUCGGGAGUGAUGGGUGCGGAGGGUGGUAUUUGGGGGACUUAAUUUCUUCCAGUUGCGUUUCCAGGUUUCGUUCGGAGCGUGGUUCUGACCUUAUCUCAGUCGGCCCUCUGGCGCUACCAGUGUCAGGUUUGGGAUAGCAGACUGCAGCCCCAGCCCUGCGGGUGUCCCAGUGGUCGCAGGUGGCAAAACCAAGGCAUGGAACUUGAGGAAGUCACGUGCGCAAGAGGCACGCAGUAAAAUAAGAAAUGGGAAGUGCACCAGUGGGAACAGGCCCGUUGGUAUGGGCGCUGCUAGGACAGCUCUACAACCACAGAGAGGUCCUGAACUGAAAAAUAGUAAGAAUGGUCCCCUAGAUAAUUUGCCAUGUGCUGUAUCAUAACUACCUGUUCAGCCUUCAGAACUGUUGUUUUUGAUGCUGAAGUCUUCAGCUUUCCAAAUACGGAACAAGAAGGACAUAGUUUUUCAUUUUUGUACUUGAAUAUUCUCCAGCAGUGUCUAAUUUUACCUAACUAAGAAUUACCUUUGGAGAGAAAGAUCAUUGUUUCUGUUAUCAAAAUUAUGGGAUAAUAAAUAUAACUUUGAAUGA